rnacentral:rRNA from 1 species
AUUUGAUUUGGAUUCCCACUUAGUGGCGCAAGGGUGAGUAACGCGUAGGUUAUCUGCCUUCGAGUUUGGAAUAACAAUUAGAAAUGAUUGCUAAUGCCGGAUUAUAUUUAAGAUGAUACGUUGUCUUAAAUUAAAAGGAGCCUUUAAAGCUUCGCUUGAAGAUGAGCCUGCGUCGUAUUAGCUAGUUGGUGGGGUAAUGGCCUACCAAGGCAACGAUGCGUAGCCGACCUGAGAGGGUGAUCGGCCACACUGGGACUGAGACACGGCCCAGACUCC